GAAACUUUCCCUCAGUCUCACACACUUUUCAGCAUCAUUUUACUGCAAAAACUCUCUCUCCCUUCCUUUCUGAAAAACCAGACUUCAGAAAUUUUAGGAAAAACUUCAAAAAAAAAAACUUCUUGCUUUUGGUUUUCACAAGCUAGAAAUAAUGGUUUGAAUUCAUAGGAUCUUUCUUGAGUGUCUUGGUUGGGAUUUCUGGGUUCAAGUUGUGAGUUUUUACUAUUUCUUUAGCUAGGAUAUUUGUUGGUUGAAACUCUGGGUUUUUCUUGCUGAUUUCUGGUUGAAAACGUCCAAUUAGCUUUUGUUUGAUUGCUGUUGAUCUAAGCUCUGAAAUCAGCCUUGGUUUUCUGACCUUUAUUUGGUCAUUCCUCAACUAUAUUUUUCAGUUUCCAGGUAUGUAACAAUGUUCAUCCUAAAUGGAAUUAAUUUUGAGCUCAAAAAUCUAUGUUUGGAACUUAUUUUGGUUGACUGAACAUUUGAUGUUAGUUUUUGGGAAUCAUGACUGGGUUUAAUUUAGAGUAGAUUGAACCAUUUGUUAAUGUUAGUUUAACUGGCUGUUGAAUUUAAUCAUGAAAUCUCUGAUGUUAUGCUGCACAUGUGUUAAAACUUAACAAGGUUGAUUGCUGAAUCAAUGUAUAUACCUAUGAAAACUAUGUUCAAAUGGCUCUUUUAUGGUAGCACAAAAGGAAAAAAUGAAUCUGACCCUUUAAAUGGUCAGAUUCAUUCCUUAACAGUGCAUAAUAGUCUUGACUCCUUUAGUAUAUGUCUAAGUUAUUUUCCUUUCCCCUUUUUCUUCAUUACUAAGAUGAGAACUAUGGAGUAAAUCAUGGUUUGGAAAUCUUUGCUUGUCUGUAGGGCUGACCUUAAAACAUGGUUAGACUUAUGGACAACAUUGUUUUCCUUUACUCAUUUUUGUAUUAGGAUUAACUUGGUAACAUUGUAGGUUCCAACAUUUGAAGAUACUUUGCGAAUCUGACCCUUUCAUAUGGUUAGACCCAUGAGGAUCUUGGUUUGUUUAAAGCUGGAGCAGUAGCAGUUUAGGAAACUUCCUCUUUUCAUUUUGUUGUAAUUUAGUUUGAGGUAUUGAUGUAAUUUAUAUUUUGUACCCCUAUUUAAUUCCGGAAUUUGUAAUAAAUUGGAUUGGACUUUAUAAACUUAUAGACUAGUUAAUGCAGCUCCGGUAGUUUAUUUAGCCAAAUUCUAAAUGUAUAUUAGUAUGCUAUGUUUAAAAAAGGCAACAUUUGGC
rnacentral:lncRNA from 1 species